rnacentral:rRNA from 1 species
AUUGAACGCUGGCGGCAGGCUUAACACAUGCAAGUCGAACGGUAGCAGGAAGAAAGCUUGCUUUCUUUGCUGACGAGUGGCGGACGGGUGAGUAAUGCUUGGGAAUCUGGCUUAUGGAGGGGGAUAACUGUGGGAAACUGCAGCUAAUACCGCGUAGUAUCGAGAGAUGAAAGGGUGGGACCUUCGGGCCACCUGCCAUAAGAUGAGCCCAAGUGGGAUUAGGUAGUUGGUGGGGUAAAGGCCUACCAAGCCGACGAUCUCUAGCUGGUCUGAGAGGAUGACCAGCCACACUGGGACUGAGACACGGCCCAGACUCCUACGGGAGGCAGCAGUGGGGAAUAUUGCGCAAUGGGGGGAACCCUGACGCAGCCAUGCCGCGUGAAUGAAGAAGGCCUUCGGGUUGUAAAGUUCUUUCGGUAAUGAGGAAGGGGUAUUAUUGAAUAGAUAAUAUCAUUGACGUUAAUUACAGAAGAAGCACCGGCUAACUCCGU